ACGAACGCUGGCGGCGUGCUUAACACAUGCCAGUCGUACGGUAAGGCCCUUUCGGGGGUACACGAGUGGCGAACGGGUGAGUAACACGUGAGUAACCUGCCCACAACUUUGGGAUAACGCUAGGAAACUGGUGCUAAUACUGGAUAUGUGCUCCUGCUGCAUGGUGGGGGUUGGAAAGCUCCGGCGGUUGUGGAUGGACUCGCGGCCUAUCAGCUUGUUGGUGGGGUAGUGGCCUACCAAGGCGGCGACGGGUAGCCGGCCUGAGAGGGUGACCGGCCACAUUGGGACUGAGAUACGGCCCAGACUCCUACGGGAGGCAGCAGUGGGGAAUAUUGCACAAUGGGCGCAAGCCUGAUGCAGCAACGCCGCGUGCGGGAUGACGGCCUUCGGGUUGUAAACCGCUUUCAGCAGGGACGAAGCUUUUUGUGACGGUACCUGCAGAAGAAGCACCGGCUAACUACGUG
rnacentral:rRNA from 1 species